UACGUAGGGUGCAAGCGUUGUCCGGAAUUAUUGGGCGUAAAGAGCUCGUAGGCGGCUUGUCGCGUCGGCUGUGAAAACUCGGGGCUCAACCCCGAGCCUGCAGUCGAUACGGGCAGGCUAGAGUCCGGCAGGGGAGACUGGAAUUCCUGGUGUAGCGGUGAAAUGCGCAGAUAUCAGGAGGAACACCUAUUGCGAAGGCAGCUCGCUGGGACGUAACUGACGCUGAGACGCGAAAGCGUGGGGAGCAAACAGG
rnacentral:rRNA from 1 species